CCCUUAGAUGUUCUGGGCCGCACGCGCGCUACACUGACGAAUGCAACGAGCUUAUAACCUUGGCCGAAAGGUCUGGGUAAUCUCCAAAUUUCGUCGUGAUGGGGAUAGAUUAUUGCAAUUAUUAAUCUUCAACGAGGAAUGCCUAGUAAGCGCAAGUCAUCAACUUGCAUUGAUUACGUCCCUGCCCUUUGUACACACCGCCCGUCGCACCUACCGAUUGAAUGGUCCGGUGAAGCCUCCGGAUUGGCGCGCACCUCGGUGCCGCCGAGAAGUUGGCUAAACCUUACCAUUUAGAGGAAGGUGAANUCGUAACA
rnacentral:rRNA from 1 species